rnacentral:lncRNA from 1 species
GAGCCACUAAUAUUAAUGGCCUAAGAGAAGGUGUUUCCGAGGCCCAAUCAUUCGUCUUCCAGGAAGAAAGGGAGAAAAAAAGAGAGAGGAGAAAACAACAAUGUAAAAAAGAAAAAAUGGCACAGCCAAAUAUUGAUAAUAAGGGAAAACAAGAUACUCAACAGGAGCAAUGUACAUAUAUAUAUAUAUAUAUAUAUUCCUGUAUGCUUUUUAUUCCAUUGUUCAGGUCAUCCUCGGACUAUUGCUUCAUGCUGUAGGGAAAGAAAAGAAACUCAAGUUGCAAUUCAUACAUGCGAUCUAUCAUCAGUCUCGUUGGAAAAGCUUGUCCUUGUUCUCAUCAAUGAUCCAAUAUCCAAAUAUCCAUGGAGUUUCUUAACGGGGCUCCAUGUCGGUAAUUGACAUGUUACAUAUAGUUAACGCGUCAGAUGGAGUGGAAUUGGUAGUUCUCCAAGCCACGUCUGACUC